CCUGUUCUUCUCCACCAUGGCCACGAAGCUCCAACUGUUUCGAUUCAUCUUCUUCCUCAGAGCUUGAUUUUCACCGGUUACGCAUUCAUCUUCUUAAAGUCGUCCUUGAUUUCAUCAUCCACGAUCUCCAUUUAUUGUAUGUUUCGCUCUUGCAAGGCGGUGGAGAAAUCUCAGUAUAAAAAGCCCGGUUGAUGUUCCUACACGAUUGAGGUGAUGUUGCUUCGUUUCUGGGAGGCUAGGAAUGUUAGGCAGGGUGAUGAACUCAAAACGAUGAAGAUCAAGGCUUAAAAUUAGGUGUAAUCAGAAUUUAGACUUUUAGACUCUCCUCUGUUGAUACGGUUCAGUGAUUCGAUCCGUUUUUAUGAGAAAUACAGUAAUGUUCUAUGAGUGAAAUCAAUUAAAACUUUUCGUUGAGAGACAAUAAUUUAAAAGUUUUACAAGACUAUGGCUAUCGUUGUUUCUAUGUUUACUGAAGAGGAGACUGAGAGGUACAUAUCAUCUGGUUUGCUUUCUCCAAAUGUGGAGGCUAAGAUUGUGGAUCAGGAUACGGGUCGUGUCUUGGGGUUUGAUCAAACUGGCGAACUCAGGUUCCGGAGUCCUACUGUGAUGAAAGGUGUUUGCUUCUUCUUUAACACGCAAUUCUUUUGUGUUUGGUGUUGGUAUGAAACUGUGUUGAGUUGCUUUUAAAGGUUAUUUCAAAAACGUAGAAAGCUACUGCUUCUACUAUUGAUUCAGAAGGAUGGUUGAAGACCGGAGAUGUGUGUUACAUUAACAGUGAGGGUUUUGUCUUUGCUGUUGGUAGAUUAAAGGAGCUAAUCAAAUGCAACGGAUAUCAGGUAAGAAACAAAAAAAAUUACAUAUAAUCAACUUGUGUUUGAUCUUCUUAAUGUUUUAAAACUUAUAAAUUUGGUUAGAAGCAGUGUUGCUAGCUCAUCCAGAGAUUGCUGAUGCAGCAGUAAUACCGUGAGAACUUGCUUUUAAACAUGACCCAUCACUAAAUUCUUCUCUUUAAUGACCUUUUUUGAGGCUUUAGCUCUUACUUUUCUAUCUUAUUGUUUUUGAAGUAUCCUGACAAGAAAGCUGGGCAAUAUCCAAUGGCAUAUAUCAUCAGAACAACUGGAAUCAACUUAUCCGAAAGUGAAAUCAUGAUCUUAGUCGCAAAGCAGGUGUUUUCAACCAUGCAGACCAUGUUUUGUAACUAAUCCAGCCGUGGUUCCUUAUAUUUAUUCUGAGUUUUGUUUGGAUUACGUAGGUAUCUCCAUACAAGAGGAUAUGUAAGGUCAGUCACGGUUUUGUCUUCGAUCCCCAAGAAUCCCUCUGGCAAGAUUUUAAGAAGAGAACUUAUAAAGCUCACAACCUCAAAGCUCUGGCAGGGAGCUGUGUCCACCAGCCUUAUCUCACACUUCACCAUUAGUUAACUCAUUUAUUUGGUUAAUUCCUCUAUAAAAAUCUCAGUCAAAACUGAAAUAUUACAAACUUAUCAAUUCUCAUACUGAAUCUCUGUUUCUCUGUAUA